rnacentral:rRNA from 1 species
CAGUCGCCCACGGGAAUACGAAGGGUGCAAGCGUUACUCGGAAUUACUGGGCGUAAAGCGUGCGUAGGUGGUGGUUUAAGUCCGUUGUGAAAGCCCUGGGCUCAACCUGGGAAUUGCAGUGGAUACUGGGUCACUAGAGUGUGGUAGAGGAUAGUGGAAUUUCCGGUGUAGCAGUGAAAUGCGUAGAGAUCGGAAGGAACAUCUGUGGCGAAGGCGACUAUCUGGGCCAACACUGACACUGAGGCACGAAAGCGUGGGGAGCAAACAGGAUUAGAUACCCCUGUAGUCCCUGUCUCUUAUU